rnacentral:rRNA from 1 species
CAAUAGCGUAUAUUAAAGUUGUUGCAGUUAAAAAGCUCGUAGUUGGAUUUCGGGAUGGCUCGGCCGGUCUGCCGCAAGGUAUGUUACUGGCCGCGCUGUUCUUCUUCGCAAAGACUGUGUGUGCUCUUAACUGAGUGUGCAUAGGAUCUGCGACGUUUACUUUGAAAAAAUUAGAGUGUUCAAAGCAAGCCAGCGCUUGAAUACAUAAGCAUGGAAUAAUGGAAUAGGACUUUGGUUCUAUUUUGUUGGUUUCUGGAACCGAAGUAAUGAUUAAGAGAGACAGUUGGGGGCAUUCGUAUUUCGUUGUCAGAGGUGAAAUUCUUGGAUUUACGAAAGACGAACUACUGCGAAAGCAUUUGCCAAGAAUGUUUUCAUUA